AUAUGACAAUCUAAUACUUUGACAAAUAUUUUGUCUUUGUAAUGAGUCCGCUGUUACUCUUCUUUCUUUUUUCAAAAAAAUAUAUUUGCCUUUACAGUUUGCAGAGUGCAUACUGGAAAACAAGGACCUGAACUUUCCAUCAACAGCAGAAGCUGUUAAUACCGUGCGACUCAACAUUUCUUCCACACUUCUCUCAGAAUCAGAGUCAGUGGAGACUCUACAGACUCUGCAGACACUGUGGCAGUGAGGACACAGAAGAUCAUAUGUGGAUCACAUGUGACAGAUGCAACUGGUGGUACCACCAAGGCUGCGUUAAGGUCCCACAAACCGACACAGACUACUGCUGUGCAAUGUGUUUAUAGAUUUUAUGUUUGUACCAAUCUAAUUCUUUAAUGACUGCAGUUCAGUGGAUUUUCAGUUUAAACAUGUGACAUAAUUUUCGUUGGUUUUCCAAAAAUUUUU